UGGAUUGAUGGCAAAGGGAGAGGGACUUAAGUGAGAGUGAAAACACAAGCACAAGAACCCCACGGGGAUUCAAUGGAGCCUGAAGACCUGCAAUGAGACCCUCACCCUGCACCUGAGUCUCAACUCCCAGAGUUUAGCAAGCCUCUCCCUAUUCUUUAUUUUGAUUAAACAGACAUUAAGUCUUC